GGUGGUUGUAGCUCAGUUGGUUAGAGCGCUGGUUUGUGGUACCAGAGGUCGCCGGUUCGAAACCGGUCUUCCACCC
rnacentral:tRNA from 1 species